rnacentral:rRNA from 1 species
UACGUAGGGUGCGAGCGUUGUCCGGAAUUAUUGGGCGUAAAGAGCUUGUAGGCGGUUUGUCGCGUCUGCUGUGAAAAUCCGGGGCUCAACCCCGGACUUGCAGUGGGUACGGGCAGACUAGAGUGUGGUAGGGGAGACUGGAAUUCCUGGUGUAGCGGUGAAAUGCGCAGAUAUCAGGAGGAACACCGAUGGCGAAGGCAGGUCUCUGGGCCACUACUGACGCGAGAAGCGAAAGCAUGGGGAGCGAACAGG